rnacentral:rRNA from 1 species
GACGAACGCUGGCGGCGUGCCUAAUACAUGCAAGUUGAGCGCUGAAGGUUGGUACUUGUACCAACUGGAUGAGCAGCGAACGGGUGAGUAACGCGUGGGGAAUCUGCCUUUGAGCGGGGGACAACAUUUGGAAACGAAUGCUAAUACCGCAUAAAAACUUUAAACACAAGUUUUAAGUUUGAAAGAUGCAAUUGCAUCACUCAAAGAUGAUCCCGCGUUGUAUUAGCUAGUUGGUGAGGUAAAGGCUCACCAAGGCGAUGAUACAUAGCCGACCUGAGAGGGUGGUCGGCCACAUUGGGACGGGGACACGGCCCAAACUCCUACGGGAGGCAGCAGGAGGGAAACUUCGGCAAUGGACGAAAGUCUGACCGAGAAACGCCGCGGGAGGGAAGAAGGUUGUCGGAUCGGAAAACUCUGUUGGUAGAGAAGAACGUUGGUGAGAGUGGAAAGCUCAUCAAGUGACGGUAACUACCCAGAAAGGGACGGCUAACUACGUG